CAGAAAGGUAGAAGACGUUUCACUACUGAGAGCUGUAACGCUGAUAGCGGUAGUCUGGACAGGUGGAUUUAUAUACCUCGAUAUGGUCAAUGCGUCCCCUUAUAUGGCAUACAGACAUACAACAGAUCGGCUACAGGAGGCGACAACAUUGGAUCGGGUGGUCAGACUCGGUGUUACUUUGAUUGCUUGAAACCGUAUUCCGAAGACAUGGGUCAGUACUAUGAAUCACCACGACUGGGAAAAGGGAACUUAUACAGGAGUUGCGGCAAUAAUCGACUACUGCAGUUGACGCCAACAAAUGUCGCGUCAAAAGAUGGAUUGAUUGAACUGAUAACGAAAACGUUGUUAUAAACUGACUUCCAAAAGAAACUUUACCAACUGAAAAUAUAAAUUU